AGCUGAAGGCGAGGACAUACCUGCUAUGUCUGUGAAAAGCCAAGACUCCAGUGACACAGAAAAUGCCACAGGUCCUGAAGUUACAGUUGAAAUGAAUAGUCCAGUUGACAAUGUAAAUGACCCAACAGAGAGUCAGCAAGAAGAUUGCCAAUAGGGGCACAAAGAUGAAGCAAAGGAACAAACAAAGGAAGUGAAAUGACAGUCAGCAUUGCAGGGCCUGGCCCUGGGGAGUUUGGGAAGAUGACAGCACCAGCACGUG